GUGCCAGACUCCUACGGGAGGCAGCAGUGGGGGAUAUUGCACAAUGGGGGGAACCCUGAUGCAGCGACGCCGCGUGGGUGAAGAAGCGCCUCGGCGCGUAAAGCCCUAUCGGCAGGGAAGAAGCAAGACGGUACCUGACUAAGAAGCCCCGGCUAACUACGUGCCAGCAGCCGCGGUAAUACGUAGGGGGCGAGCGUUAUCCGGAUUCACUGGGUGUAAAGGGGGCGCAGACGGCAGCGCAAGCCAGGAGUGAAAGCCCGGGGCCCAACCCCGGGACUGCUCUGGAAACUGCGGCGCUGGAGUACGGGAGGGGCAGGCGGAAUUCCUGGUGUAGCGGUGAAAUGCGUAGAUAUCAGGAGGAACACCGGCGGCGAAGGCGGCCUGCUGGACCGUAACUGACGUUGAGGCUCGAAAGCGUGGGGAGCAAACAGGAUUAGAUACCCUAGUAU
rnacentral:rRNA from 1 species